GCAGCUGCAGGCUCCCCACCCUGUGAGAGCUUUCGUGUGCCAAGUCAUUGGCUACAGGUGGCAAAGUUGUGGCUCCAGUUCAAGUCUCUCCCCUGGAGCUGGAUGUUCCAGAAAGGACACUCAGUUCUUCAGGGCUGUCUCUGUGAUCCAGGCUUUGAUCUGGGAAAGGUUGCGCCUCAUUGCAGAGUUGAAGCUAUCUGCCUGCUUUGUUUACACGAACGCCCUUCCAGGACUCUGUCUGCUUUUGGGGUGGAAGUGCCCUGCCAAAAACUCCAGCUCUCCAUGCUGGCUGUGUGGCCAGCAUACCUCCUGCCUUUUCAACGAUUCCUCUGCCCUGGAUAGAGAGCGGUGUCUCAUAACAGUUUGGAAACUACAAAAGUUUCCCUGGCAGGAUGAAUGAUUGACUCGGCAACAUGUUCUUGCCUUUUGGAGUUGCCCUCCAAUUUUUCCAGGCUUGAUUCUGUAAAUCAUUUCAUCUUGUAAAAAUACUGGGCUGUGAGCACGGAUGAUCUCAAAGAUGAGGAAACAGAAGCUGGGAUAUGUGAGUAAACAUUUCCAAGGUCCUGCAGCUAAUCAAUGGUUGACAACUUCUUUCCUCUGCCUAUGUUGCCAUCCAUGUCAUGGUUUGUGUCAAGACUCUAGGAGAAGUCUACCAUCAGCACCACAGCUACUGUGCACAAAUCCAGAAUGCCAGACUGAAGUCAGAAGGAAAGGACCUGGCUUUUAAAAAUGGUGAAGGGAAAUGUUCUUAUCACCCAUUCCUGUCAGAGAUGAUGCAGCUCAUUGCUGAUGCUGAGAUCCAACGUCCAGUGCCUGAGUACCCCUGGAUUCUGAGCACUAGGGGCUGGACUGUGGAGACCAUCAGUUCAUAACAUCCUGUCCCUGCUCCCUGCUGUAGAUGACUGAGACCAGGGUUCUUAAACAAGGGAGAAGCACUCUCAUACCCCUAGAACAAGAUGAACAAAAGAAGGAGGAAAAAUCUUGACCUCCGUAAGAUCCAGGAUGGCACGUGCAAGGCACUGACACAGCAUCUGCCGGCAUCACUGACUCUCCUGGACCCCAGAAGCCCAGUUCCCCAGGCUCUGAAACCCUGCAGCAAUGAAAAGGAAGCACAGGCAAACCAUAAGGAAGAUAAUUUUUCUACUAAAAAAUAAAUAGAAAUGCAUCCUUAGAGGCAGGUUUCAUGAGGACACAGAGAAUCCGGUUUUGUGUGUGCCUGAUUUCGUUUUUCUGUCAAAGAGAUACAAAACAAUCAACUGAGUUAUCUUGAACUUACAAAGAUUAAAAAUAAUCAAUUCCUGUUACUAUUUUCAAUUUUUCCCCCAUUUUACUUCUUUAGGUAUGAAGAAAUGUAGCCUAUUAAAACCUGGAUUAAUAAAAACCUUUCAUUAACUUUU
rnacentral:lncRNA from 10 species